rnacentral:rRNA from 1 species
AGCAUAGGCGGAUUUUUAAGUGGGAUGUGAAAUACCCGGGCUUAACCUGGGUGCUGCAUUCCAAACUGGAAGUCUAGAGUGCAGGAGAGGAAAGUGGAAUUCCUAGUGUAGCGGUGAAAUGCGUAGAGAUUAGGAAGAACACCAGUGGCGAAGGCGACUUUCUGGACUGUAACUGACGCUGAGGCUCAAAAGCGUGGGGAGCGAACA